GGCAAGGUGGCCGAGCGGUCCAAGGCGCCACGUUAAGGUGUAGAACCCUUAAUCACGAUCCGUGGUCUCGAAAGGGGCGUGAGUUCGAAUCUCACCCUUGUCA
rnacentral:tRNA from 1 species